CAGCCGCGGAAAAACGUAGGAAGCGAGCGUUAUCCGGAUUUACUGGGCGUAAAGCGCGUGUAGGCGGUUUGGCAAGUUGGAUGUGAAAUCUCCUGGCUCAACUGGGAGGGGGCGUUCAAAACUGCCAGACUAGAGGACAGUAGAGGAAGGUGGAAUUCCCGGGGUAGUGGGGAAAUGCGUAGAUAUCGGGAGGAACACCAGUGGCGAAAGCGGCCUUCUGGACUGUAUCUGACGCUCAGACGCGAAAGCUAGGGGAGCGAACGGGAUUAGAGACCCCGGUAGUCCUAGCUGUAAACGAUGUAGACUUGGCGUCGGUGGGUUCAAAGCCAUCGGUGCCGUAGCUAACGCGAUAAGUCUACCGCCUGGGGACUACGGCCGCAAGGUGAAAACUCAAAGGAAUUGACGGGGGCCCGCACAAGCAGCGGAGCGUGUGGG
rnacentral:rRNA from 1 species